rnacentral:rRNA from 1 species
UACGUAGGGGGCAAGCGUUAUCCGGAUUUAUUGGGCGUAAAGAGCGUGUAGGCGGCUUUACAGGUCCGUUGUGAAAACUCGAGGCUCAACCUCGAGACGCCGGUGGAAACCGUAAAGCUAGAGUCCGGAAGAGGAGAGUGGAAUUCCUGGUGUAGCGGUGAAAUGCGCAGAUAUCAGGAAGAACACCCGUGGCGAAGGCGGCUCUCUGGGACGGUACUGACGCUGAGGCACGAAGGCCAGGGGAGCAAACGGG